CUAAAGGGUUAAGCAUUCUUAACACACUCAAGUGUUUUUUUUUCUGCAUGAGACAAACAAAAUCCUUAAGGGUGUUUUUCUUGGGUUACAAAGUUAUGUUAAAUAAAAAUAAAAAUGGAGAGAAAACCUUUGCUUCUGAGCCAAAGGCCCACACCAGCUCAAGAAAACUUAUAAAGACCGAUUCCGGAAAUGUCAGAAAUGAAGCUUGAGCUUUAUUUCCUUGUAAGCAUGACUCAGCACAUUGCAGACAAUCAUCUGUUACCUAGGUAGCCUGCUCUGAUCAUCCUAAAAGGAAAGAUACUGUAAAAUAACCAAUGAGAAUCAAGAUGUAUGAACUUCUUUUUUUUCCAUUUUUUAAACCUUAACUAUAACCUUUAGGAGAAGAGCUUCUUGCCAUUUUCUAUUUUGGAGUCUCUGUUCUGGAAUAGUGUGUUCUCAAUAAAAUAUUCAUGUCAAGUAAAA
rnacentral:sRNA from 1 species